rnacentral:rRNA from 1 species
AUUGAACGCUGGCGACAUGCCUUACACAUGCAAGUCGAACGGUAACAGGUCUUCGGAUGCUGACGAGUGGCGAACGGGUGAGUAAUACAUCGGAACGUGCCUAGUAGUGGGGGAUAACUACUCGAAAGAGUGGCUAAUACCGCAUGAGAUCUACGGAUGAAAGCAGGGGAUCGCAAGACCUUGUGCUACUAGAGCGGCCGAUGGCGGAUUAGGUAGUUGGUGGGAUAAGAGCUUACCAAGCCGACGAUCUGUAGCUGGUCUGAGAGGACGAUCAGCCACACUGGGACUGAGACACGGCCCAGACUCCUACGGGAGGCAGCAGUGGGGAAUUUUGGACAAUGGGCGAAAGCCUGAUCCAGCAAUGCCGCGUGCAGGAUGAAGGCCUUCGGGUUGUAAACUGCUUUUGUACGGAACGAAAAGCCCUGGGUUAAUACCCUGGGGUCAUGACGGUACCGUAAGAAUAAGCACCGGCUAACUACGUGCCAGCCGCCGCCGUAA